CAUUCCGCCCAUUCAAUUUCUCUACGAGCGCCUUGUUUCCUAUUUUUUUCAAUUUUUUUGGGAUUUUUUGGGGUUUUCAUUUGAUUCAAAAUGCCCUCCAAUACUUCUUCCUCUAGCAGUUCUAGAAGUUCGUCAGCUCCAGCCCCCCAAAAUUCUAGUACUGUAGAUGAACCCAUACCUAAGAUCAGACCUCAUUCAGUCUUUGUACCAGACACCAUUUCCAGCUCUUUGACCUCGGAUGAACUCUCGCUGAUUAGGAUUCAGUACGGGGUUCCUUCGGAGUAUAAGCUUGAGCUUUUCGGGCC
rnacentral:lncRNA from 1 species